GACGAACGCUGGCGGCGUGCUUAACACAUGCAAGUCGAACGGAAAGGCCCUGCUUUUGUGGGGUGCUCGAGUGGCGAACGGGUGAGUAACACGUGAGUAACCUGCCCUUGACUUUGGGAUAACUUCAGGAAACUGGGGCUAAUACCGGAUAGGAGCUCCUGCUGCAUGGUGGGGGUUGGAAAGUUUCGGCGGUUGGGGAUGGACUCGCGGCUUAUCAGCUUGUUGGUGGGGUAGUGGCUUACCAAGGCUUUGACGGGUAGCCGGCCUGAGAGGGUGACCGACCACAUUGGGACUGAGAUACGGCCCAGACUCCUACGGGAGGCAGCAGUGGGGAAUAUUGCACAAUGGGCGGAAGCCUGAUGCAGCAACGCCGCGUGCGGGAUGACGGCCUUCGGGUUGUAAACCGCUUUCGCCUGUGACGAAGCGUGAGUGACGGUAAUGGGUAAAGAAGCACCGGCUAACUACGU
rnacentral:rRNA from 1 species